rnacentral:rRNA from 1 species
UGGGGAAUAUUGCGCAAUGGGCGAAAGCCUGACGCAGCGACGCCGCGUGAGGGAUGAAGGUUUUCGGAUCGUAAACCUCUGUCAGAAGGGAAGAAAGUGCGUGGUGCUAAUCAGCCGCGUAUUGACGGUACCUUCAAAGGAAGCACCGGCUAACUCCGUGCCAGCAGCCGCGGUAAUACGGAGGGUGCGAGCGUUAAUCGGAAUUACUGGGCGUAAAGCGCACGUAGGCUGUUGUGUAAGUCAGGGGUGAAAUCCCACGGCUCAACCGUGGAACUGCCCUUGAUACUGCAUGACUGGAAUCCGGGAGAGGGUGGCGGAAUUCCAGGUGUAGGAGUGAAAUCCGUAGAUAUCUGGAGGAACAUCAGUGGCGAAGGCGGCCACCUGGACCGGUAUUGACGCUGAGGUGCGAAAGCGUGGGGAGCAAACAGG